UGAGUCCAUUCCUCAACAAUAGUGUCCCUCACAGCAUCCUUCUGGACAAGUAUUUUAGCUGUGGGAUGAGCAGGUUCAUGGUGUGGUGGGUGAAGAACUGGCUGAGGGUCUGAGCCCAGAGGGCUGCAGUGAAUGGGGCAACAACUGGUUGGUGACUGGUCACACCAGUGGUUGUUCCUCAGGGCUCCAUUCCAGAGCCAGUUCUGUUCUGUGUAUUUAUGCACCAUCUGCAGGCAGCAGGCCAAAUCCUGCAGAAACUCCAACAUACACUAAAUUGAGUGAUGCAAUGGAAUGAGGACUAGCCAGAAAUAUAUGGACUCCAAUCUUCAUUCAUCUUUACAUGUUGUGCAUGAUGCCUUGUAGGAUGGAAUACCCCUGUGGUCAGCUGAGGUCAGUGGCACUGGAUGUGUCUCCUCCCAUCUUCUUGUGCACCCCCAGCCUCCUCAUUGGCAGAUUGGGGUGAGAAACAAAAAAGACCUUGACACUGUGUGACUAAAACGUGCCUGUUUAUUCAACACUGUUCUCAGCACAAAUACAAAACACAGCCCUAUACUGGCUACUCUGAAGAAAAUUAUUCUAGAUAAAGUCACAUUAGAACACACCUGGACAUCAUUACUAACUUGUCUUACAUGUAGUUUGAAAGUUAACAUAUUUUAUUGUACUCGUAGAGUUUCACAUAUUGUAUCUUUUCACUUUGAACAAUAAAGAUCAGGAAAAGAAUAAUUGAAAAUUUAUAUAACAUAUAGUGUAUAAAUGUAUACAGGUUUUAUAGUGGUUUAAGUAGUUUAAGAUGCAACAGCUAUUAUAAAAGAAAAUUUUAAAAGCAGCAACUAUUAUGGAAUAUUGAAGGGACCUGCUUUAGCUUUUGCUUAUGUAAAUUUACCUACCUGUUAAAUGCUCCCUCCUAUUAUGGGCUUGAUGUUGCAUGUCAGUAGAUGAUAGAGAUUUAAAAUGUCUUAACUGCAAAUCUUGUAAGGGGUUUAAAAGGUUUCUGUCUAUUUAACUCACUGAAAAUGUGCAGUUUGUUCAAAUGCUCUGUGCCUUUUCAUGGACAGAAGAGAACUCCUCUCAAGAUCUCCAGUUCUUGAUACAUUAUGUAAGAAGUUUUAUGCGCAAGAUCUAAGUUUUCAGAAUAGAUAUAUGCUUAGAAAUGACUUUCACAGGGAUAGCCAUAGUGUAAUCAUAUCAAAGGUAUUUUAUAAUUUCCCUUAUCCAUUCUGUUUAGUCAUGCUCAGUCAAAAAACCCAUAAAUUUUGUGGAUGUGUAUAUUGUUCCUGAGAAUUGCUUCGCAAGAAACUGCAGAGUAGUGGUAGUACACAUCACUUGAUUUUAGUGUCUUAUAUGUUUGUUUUUGCUGGGGUUUUUUCAUGGCUACAAAGUAUCAUAUGUCCAAAGAAUGCCUGUUGGUACAUCUGAAAGUAUUUCAUUCCGUUGAAAAAUAAGGGUGAGCUUUUUCUCACCUAUUAUAUUAGCCAGAGUGACUACCCCAGAUGAUCAAUGGCAGCAAAUUGUUACAUUUGGAGAUGACUUAUACCAUCCUAAAAUGCCACUGAAUAAAGAGUAGUCCCGGUUGCCAUUUAGAUGGCUGGACACAAAUCAGACAAACAUAUAUUUAUAGCAGUACCUGUAACAUCUGAACAAGCAAGUUUGAAAAUGUACUUCAGGAAGAAGUUUCCUACCUAGCACAUUUUUUGUUUAAGUAAAAUAUAUGGAAAACAAAGAUAUAUUAUCUCUGAAAAGGCAUUGGAAACUGCAAGUGUAUCUGCUUAAUGAGAUAGAAUGAUGUUAAAGGAUCAAAGUCCAGUUUAAUGAUUUACAUCUUUGUGGUUUGACAUUGUCCAUUGUAAUUAAAGUAAGAUAAACCCACAGGAUUGCAGUAUCAUUCAUACAAAGAAUGAUAACAGUCUUCCAGAUGUCAUGAGCAAAUAAUAGUCCGUCUAAUAUCUAUAUGGUAAGGAUCAACAUUUGCAUUCUGCUUUUCCA